GCCUGUGGCCUAGUGGGCAAGGUUACUGUCUUGGGAACACGGGAUCGUAGGUUCAAGCCCAGCUAGGAACA
rnacentral:tRNA from 1 species